rnacentral:rRNA from 1 species
GGCAGCCGCCGCGGGAACACCGGCGGCCCGAGUGGUGAUCGUGAUUAUUGGGUCUAAAGGGUCCGUAGCCGGUUUGGUCAGUCCUCCGGGAAAUCUGAUAGCUCAACUAUUAGGCUUUCGGGGGAUACUGCCAGACUUGGAACCGGGAGAGGUAAGAGGUACUACAGGGGUAGGAGUGAAAUCUUGUAAUCCCUGUGGGACCACCUGUGGCGAAGGCGUCUUACCAGAACGGGUUCGACGGUGAGGGACGAAAGCUGGGGGGCACGAACCGGAUUAGAUACCCGGGUAGUCCCAGCCGUAAACGAUGCUCGCUAGGUGUCAGGCAUGGCGCGACCGUGUCUGGUGCCGCAGGGAAGCCGUGAAGCGAGCCACCUGGGAAGUACGGCCGCAAGGCUGAAACUUAAAGGAAUUGGCGGGGGAGCACAACAACGGGUGGAGCCCUGCGGUUUAAUUGGACUCAACGCCGGACAACUCACCGGGGGCGACAGCAAUAUGUAGGCCAAGCUGAAGACUUUGCCUGGAUCGCUGAGAAGAGGUGCAUGG